ACUACAUGAAGCUGGAAUCGCUAGUAAUCGCGGAUCAGAAUGCCGCGGUGAAUACGUUCCCGGGUCUUGUACACACCGCCCGUCACACCAUGGGAGUCGGAAAUGCCCGAAGUCUGUGACCUAACCGCAAGGGAGGAGCAGCCGAAGGCAGGUCGGAUGACUGGGGUGAAGUCGUAACAAGGUAUC
rnacentral:rRNA from 1 species